rnacentral:tRNA from 1 species
GCCGAGGUCGCAUAACCUGGUAGUGCGCCAGCCUCGAAAGCUGGUGCCCGCAAGGGCUUGGGGGUUCAAAGGCUGACAUUCCCCUCCUCGGCG